rnacentral:rRNA from 1 species
UGGGGAAUAUUGCACAAUGGGCGCAAGCCUGAUGCAGCCAUGCCGCGUGUAUGAAGAAGGCCUUCGGGUUGUAAAGUACUUUCAGUCGGGAGGAAGGUGUCAAGGUUAAUAACCUUGGCAAUUGACGUUACCGACAGAAGAAGCACCGGCUAACUCCGUGCCAGCAGCCGCGGUAAUACGGAGGGUGCAAGCGUUAAUCGGAAUUACUGGGCGUAAAGCGCACGCAGGCGGUUGAUUGAGUCAGAUGUGAAAUCCCCGGGCUUAACCCGGGAAUGGCAUCUGAUACUGGUCAGCUAGAGUCUUGUAGAGGGGGGUAGAAUUCCAGGUGUAGCGAUGAAAUGCGUAGAGAUGUGGAGGAAUACCGGUGGCGAAGGCGGCCCCCUGGACAAAGACUGACGCUCAGGUGCGAAAGCGUGGGGAGCAAACAGG